rnacentral:rRNA from 1 species
CCUACGGGAGGCAGCAGUGGGGAAUUUUGGACAAUGGGCGCAAGCCUGAUCCAGCCAUGCCGCGUGCGGGAAGAAGGCCUUCGGGUUGUAAACCGCUUUUGUCAGGGAAGAAAUCCUUUGAGAUAAUACCUCGGAGGGAUGACGGUACCUGAAGAAUAAGCACCGGCUAACUACGUGCCAGCAGCCGCGGUAAUACGUAGGGUGCGAGCGUUAAUCGGAAUUACUGGGCGUAAAGCGUGCGCAGGCGGUCUUGCAAGACAGAUGUGAAAUCCCCGGGCUCAACCUGGGAACUGCAUUUGUGACUGCAAGGCUAGAGUACGGUAGAGGGGGAUGGAAUUCCGCGUGUAGCAGUGAAAUGCGUAGAUAUGCGGAGGAACACCGAUGGCGAAGGCAAUCCCCUGGACCUGUACUGACGCUCAUGCACGAAAGCGUGGGGAGCAAACAGGAUUAGAUACCCUGGUAGUCCACGCCCUAAACGAUGUCAACUGGUUGUUGGACGGCUUGCUGUUCAGUAACGAAGCUAACGCGUGAAGUUGACCGCCUGGGGAGUACGGCCGCAAGGUUGAAACUCGAAAGGAUUGACGG